GAUGAACGCUGGCGGCGUGCCUAAUACAUGCAAGUCGGGCGAACGGACGAGAAGCUUGCUUCUCUGAUGUUAUCGGCGGACGGGUGAGUAACACGUGGAUAACCUACCUAUAAGACUGGGAUAACUUCGGGAAACCGGAGCUAAUACCGGAUAAUAUUUUGAACCGCAUGGUUCAAAAGUGAAAGACGGUCUUGCUGUCACUUAUAGAUGGAUCCGCGCUGCAUUAGCUAGUUGGUAAGGUAACGGCUUACCAAGGCAACGAUGCAUAGCCGACCUGAGAGGGUGAUCGGCCACACUGGAACUGAGACACGGUCCAGACUCCUACGGGAGGCAGCAGUAGGGAAUCUUCCGCAAUGGGCGAAAGCCUGACGGAGCAACGCCGCGUGAGUGAUGAAGGUCUUCGGAUCGUAAAACUCUGUUAUUAGGGAAGAACAUAUGUGUAAGUAACUGUGCACAUCUUGACGGUACCUAAUCAGAAAGCCACGGCUAACUACGUG
rnacentral:rRNA from 1 species